UCACUUCGCUUGCCUUCGAAGACUGGUCUGUGUUCAGUGUUUUCUGUGAAGUGAGUCGGCUCUCUUCCUCCAGCAGUUGGCUCGCUCCCACCUCGCAGCACCUCGCAGGUCUCUUCCCCCAGCAGUACGCUGCCUGAGCGAGGAACAGCUCACGAAUCAGCUGGAGGUCCCUGUUUUGAAAAAAAAAAAAAAAAAAAAAAAAAAAAAAAAAAGGCAGAUACAGAAGCAGAGAAGGGUGGACUCCUAUGUGACCUGUUCUUAGAGCAAGACAAUCAGCAGCUGAAUUCCAGAAGCCCUGUUCAUGUGUGGGGAUAUUCUCUCGACUGCAUGGAAUCAGAAAGCAGCAGAAGGAUGGGAAGCGCCUGCAUUCCCCUGAAAAGAAUUGCCUAUUUCCUAUGCCUCUUUUCUGUGGUUUUGCUGACUGAGGGGAAGAAACCAGCGAAGCCAAAAUGCCCUGCUGUGUGUACUUGUAGCAAAGAUAACGCUUUAUGCGAGAACGCGAGAUCCAUUCCACGCACCGUUCCUCCUGAUGUUAUCUCACUGUAAGGCCCAUCCUUUGUGAGAUCUGGUUUUACUGAAAUCUCAGAAGGGAGUUUCUUAUUCACACCAUCGCUGCAGCUCUUGUUAUUCACGUCCAACUCCUUUGAUGUGAUCAGUGAUGAUGCUUUUAUUGGUCUUCCACAUCUAGAAUAUCUAUUCAUAGAAAACAACAACAUCAAGUCCAUUUCAAGACAUACUUUCCGGGGACUCAAGUCUUUGAUUCACUUGAGUCUUGCAAACAACAAUCUCCAGACAUUGCCAAAAGACAUUUUCAAAGGCCUGGAUUCCUUAACAAAUGUGGACCUAAGAGGGAACGCAUUUAAUUGUGACUGUAAGUUGAAGUGGCUGGUGGAAUGGCUCGGCCACACCAAUGCAACUGUGGAAGAUAUCUACUGUGAAGGCCCACCGGAAUAUAAGAAGCGGAAAAUCAAUAGCCUCUCCCCCAAGGAUUUUGACUGUAUCAUUACAGAAUUUGCAAAGUCCCAAGACCUACCUUACCAGUCACUGUCCAUAGAUACUUUUUCUUAUUUGAAUGAUGAAUAUGUAGUCAUUGCUCAACCUUUUACUGGAAAAUGCAUUUUCCUGGAAUGGGACCAUGUAGAGAAGACCUUCCGGAAUUAUGACAACAUUACAGGCACGUCCACUGUGGUGUGUAAGCCCAUAGUUAUUGACACUCAGCUCUAUGUCAUUGUGGCCCAACUGUUUGGUGGCUCUCAUAUCUAUAAGCGAGAUGGCUUUGCAAACAAAUUCAUAAAAAUCCAAGAUAUUGAAGUUCUCAAAAUUCGAAAACCCAAUGACAUCGAAACAUUCAAGAUUGAAGACAACUGGUACUUUGUCGUUGCUGACAGUUCCAAAGCUGGGUUUACUACCAUUUACAAAUGGAACGGAAACGGAUUCUACUCCCACCAAUCCUUACAUGCCUGGUACAGGGAUACUGAUGUGGAAUACCUUGAAAUAGCCAGACCCCCAUUGGCCCUCAGAACACCUCAUUUAAUCCUGUCCAGUAGUUCUCAGCGCCCUGUUAUUUACCAGUGGAGCAAAGCAACACAGUUAUUCACUAACCAGACUGACAUUCCCAAUAUGGAGGAUGUGUACGCAGUGAAGCACUUCUCUGUGAAAGGAGAUGUGUACAUUUGCUUGACCAGAUUCAUUGGCGACUCCAAAGUCAUGAAGUGGGGCGGCUCCUCCUUCCAGGACAUUCAGAGGAUGCCAUCUCGAGGAUCCAUGGUGUUCCAACCUCUUCAGAUAAAUAAUUACCAAUAUGCAAUUCUUGGAAGCGAUUACUCCUUUACUCAAGUGUAUAACUGGGAUGCAGAGAAAGCCAAAUUUGUGAAGUUUCAGGAAUUAAACGUUCAGGCACCCAGAUCAUUCACACACGUGUCCAUUAAUAAGCGUAAUUUUCUCUUUGCUUCCAGUUUUAAGGGAAACACACAGAUUUACAAACAUGUCAUAGUUGACUUAAGCGCAUGAGACACCAAAUUCCAUGGCUGCCAUCGGAAACUUUCUACAGUGCGUGACCUGGAUGAACUCAAUGCAUGAUGACUCUUCUUAUCACACUUGCAGAUGAAUACCUUUCAACAUUGAGACUGCUAAAGCCAAUACUACCAGUAUCGCCAUCCUUAACUGUCCGGUCCAGUGGUGUGGGAAGUUACCUUUUAUAAGACAAAAGUUUCCUUAUGUAACUGUUCUUUGCAGUGAAGAUGUGUAAAUAAGCGUUUAAUGGCAUCUGUUACUCCGAAAAGAAAUAUUCAUAUGUACUUUUCCAUUUAUUUAUUCACAUGUUCAGAAACAACUGCCAAAUAAAAUGUUUACAUUUUCUUUCAUAUCCCAAAGGUAAUUAUUUACAAGAGCUGUUUGAUUCCUGUUGAUUGUAUGUUGAAGAAAUAGUUUUAUACACUAGGAUUAUAUUUGGAUCAAGGAUUUAUUGUAUGAAUAUUGAGUAAAGAUAACAAAUGAAAAUAAUUUCCCAUAAUUUAUAAACACCUUUAUCUGGGUUCUAUCCAUGGAUUUUGAAUACUCAGAAGUCACAAUGCUUAGGGACACUUAAAGGUGAAAGGGUAACACCCUUCGAUGAGAGGGAGUUUGCCUAUUAUGGUAAGGCUAACCUGUAAUGAGAAGGAAGACCAUCCUGUUCUAUCUGAUAGCCUGGGCUAAAUACCACUCAGCCAUUUUAUAGAAGAAAUUUCAGAUUUAGGAUUGAAAAGCUCCUGAUCUGGGACCUUCUGAAUAUCUAACUCUAGAGUCGCCUGACAGCUGGUAGAUUGUAACUUAUGUAGAGCACUUGCCUCUAAACAUGCUGGCUCUGGAGGCCUCUCUAUCUGGCAGAGGACAUUUUGCUUCUAGACACUGGAUUUGCUGUAACUGACCUGCCACACAGUGCCUGUGAGGCUCAUGUUUGAUUUUCUAGAUUCCUGCUUCUGGAUCACUUGAGUCAUUAGUAGCUAGCACAAUGCCUGUUAUGUACAUAGUAGGCUCUCAGAAAUUGCUUUUCAAAGGCUAAGGAGAUAGUUUCACAGAAAAGUACUCAUGUGGCAUGUGUAAAACCUCGAGUUCAAUCCCUAGCAUAAAACAAAAGAGUUUGGGGAAAAAACAAGUGACUCCUUCUUUUAUAAUAAACUCCACGGGUCCCUCUGACCUACUGAGUACUUACUGGUUACUUGUUCAGAAUAUGGUGUGGUUGUGGGUAAUUAAUACAGGAGGAGGGUGCAAUGCUUACCCUCUGUAGUCUUGGAAAAAGAAUGGCAGUGGGCUAAAUAUGCAAAAACAUUGAUAGAUUAAGCAAUGAGUACAAAGAAUGACCUGAAAAUUCUAGAUUUUCAGUAUCAUGGAAACAAUCAGAGCAACUUUGGGGAAGCUAUGCUCUUUGUUUGAUUUAAAGGGAAGACGCAAAAGAAAGUGUGUAGGGAAGACAUUGCGGGCACAAACUGGUUGUGUGUGCUGCCUUUAUGGAGAGCAUUUGAGCUUGCUAUGUUCCCACUGGAUGGAGGUAGGAUGCAGACAGCAGUACCCUUUGCCCAGGAUAAGUCUGGUAGCCUGAAGCAUCAGGGGUCUCCAUAAUAAUCAGUCUCCAAAGAAGCAACACCCUAGGUCAUCACACACAAAGACAGAAUCUCAUUACUCAUAUAGAAAAGAUAGUAGAUUUGGCUUCAGAGCGAUAAGGAAGAGGAAAGCUUGACUCCUGAUUAUUCGCUGGCCUUGGAACGCCUUUUCCUUUGUUCUAACAAGCAACAUCAUCGCAUACUGCUGGAGGACGCCUGCAUGGUACAGCCUGAGUUGAAAUCUAGCUCUGCCAUGCACAGGCUUUGCAACAGGCGAGGUCUUAACCAACCUGAGCCCGCUUCUUCAUUUGUAAAGAUGGAUAACAAAACCUACUUCUGAGAAGAGGAGUAAAUGAGACUACUCGUGAACAGCAGAUGGUAUUUCUCCAAAUAUAGCCCCUACCACACCUUGAACCCCAUGCCUGUGAGACCCUGUCCCAAAUUCACUAAGAGGGAGCAUCCAACUCACCUGAAUGGUUGGUGACUUGCUGUUAAUACGCUGAAUUUGGUGAAAGUGAUAGUUUGGCUUUCAUGCUAAGUCAUAAAAACCGUGAACUCUUUCUUGCCUUGCAAAUUGGAACACUUGCCUGCAGAGCCCAGAACAUCUGCAUAAGAAGUCUUACUAACCAGAGGCCAUCUUCUUUGUGGAAAACCAAUCCCCUCGGGAGCGACCACCUCCUGGUGCUCUGGUCAACAGGCCCAGCUGGUGUUACAGCCAACAGUCAUCAUCAACCACCAGUCCUGUGAAGCCUACAGCUCCAGACUGUGCGGUCAAGUUCCUACCAGACAUCAGACCUUCCCACCUAAGGGGCAGCCAUUAAAGAACAGCAAGCCAUCCACAAUAUCCCUGCCCAAAUUUGUGACCUGGACUCUAUGAGAAUAAUAAAGUGGUUGUUUUAAAUGGA